rnacentral:rRNA from 1 species
CACGUAGGGGCGCAAGCGUUGUCCGGAAUUAUUGGGCGUAAAGAGCUCGUAGGCGGUCUGUUACGUCUGCUGUGAAAACCCUGGGCCUUAACCCUGGGCUUGCAGUGGAUACGGGCAGACUAGAGGCAGGUAGGGGAGAAUGGAAUUCCCGGUGUAGCGGUGAAAUGCGCAGAUAUCGGGAGGAACACCGGUGGCGAGGGCGGAUCUCUGGGCCGAUACUGACGCUGAGGAGCGAAAAGCGUGGGGGAGCGAACAGG